AUUGAACGCUGGCGGCAUGCCUUACACAUGCAAGUCGAACGGCAGCACGGGUGCUUGCCCCUGGUGGCGAGUGGCGAACGGGUGAGUAAUACAUCGGAACAUGUCCUGUAGUGGGGGAUAGCCCGGCGAAAGCCGGAUUAAUACCGCAUACGAUCUACGGAUGAAAGCGGGGGACCUUCGGGCCUCGCGCUAUAGGGUUGGCCGAUAGCUGAUUAGCUAGUUGGUGGGGUAAAGGCCUACCAAGGCGACGAUCAGUAGCUGGUCUGAGAGGACGACCAGCCACACUGGGACUGAGGCACGGCCCAGACUCCUACGGGAGGCAGCAGUGGGGAAUUUUGGACAAUGGGCGAAAGCCUGAUCCAGCAAUGCCGCGUGUGUGAAGAAGGCCUUCGGGUUGUAAAGCACUUUUGUCCGGAAAGAAAUCCUUGGCUCUAAUACAGUCGGGGGAUGACGGUACCGGAAGAAUAAGCACCGGCUAACUACGUG
rnacentral:rRNA from 1 species